rnacentral:rRNA from 1 species
GAGUUUGAUCAUGGCUCAGGAUGAACGCUAGCGGCAGGCUUAACACAUGCAAGUCGAGGGGUAGAGGAAGCUUGCUUCCUUGAGACCGGCGCACGGGUGCGUAACGCGUAUACAAUCUACCUUUUACAGAGGGAUAGCCCAGAGAAAUUUGGAUUAAUACCUCAUAGUAUUUUCGGAUCGCAUGAUUUGAUUAUUAAAGUUCCAACGGUAAAAGAUGAGUAUGCGUCCCAUUAGCUAGAUGGUAAGGUAACGGCUUACCAUGGCAAUGAUGGGUAGGGGUCCUGAGAGGGAGAUCCCCCACACUGGUACUGAGACACGGACCAGACUCCUACGGGAGGCAGCAGUGAGGAAUAUUGGACAAUGGGCGCAAGCCUGAUCCAGCCAUGCCGCGUGCAGGAAUAAGGUCCUAUGGAUUGUAAACUGCUUUUAUACAGGAAGAAACACACCCUCGUGAGGGUACUUGACGGUACUGUAUGAAUAAGGACCGGCUAACUCCGUGCCAGCAGCCGCGGUAAUACGGAGGGUCCAAGCGUUAUCCGGAAUCAUUGGGUUUAAAGGGUCCGUAGGCGGUUUAAUAAGUCAGUGGUGAAAGCCCAUCGCUCAACGAUGGAACGGCCAUUGAUAC